GCCAGAGCACAGCCACCGGGGCAUCCCUGCAGUGAGCGGCGGCCCCUCGCUGCCUCCUGGCACCACUCAGGGGUGUCCUCGGACCUGCCCGCGCCCACCACCAGGAUGGCACGCCUAUAAUUUUUGAAAUCAUGCUAGCCUGGAUCCAGAGGAUAUCCUACCGCAGCAAGUCUGUCAUUUUAGCGGAGGGUGCUCUCUUCCCUUCCUUGACAUUGUACAGAAACUCCAGAGUUUAUCCAGUACUAAAUUUGGGGCACCAUUAGUCUCGACAGCAUAGUUCAUACGUUUUAUGGAGCACUGAACUGGUGCAUAUGAGAGAAUCACGCCGUUACUGCUGCUGCUUCUGGCAGAGGGAAGGUCCAGUCCCACAGUCUGGGUCACGAUUAAGGAACUGGGCUUCUCAUUGCUGAUACGAAGUCUGAAGGGCUUCAUCAGCAGGGGGCUACCUGUGAGGUCACAAAGGCUCUGAAACCAGCUUUCUAUGACUAUCUGAUGGAGUUGGGGAGACAACAGCCUCACAGUUCUACGAUGAGGACAGAGAAUUGAAGUAACUAGUUGAAAGUUUCCUGUCUUGGUUGCGGUGGUACUGUUACCAGCCCCUCUUCUGAACUUGAGAUGGGUUGGUACGUCCUGACUUGUGAUCCCCUCUUGACUGCUGCCAAGGAUCUCUGCAUCUCCAAAGCCAAACUCCUGAUUUUCUUCUUCCAAACUAACAUCCUCCUGUGUUUACCACCUUCAUGACCGGCAGCGCCAUCCAUCCAUGCUGAGCAGGCACAGUUGUGAUUGAGUCUACUUCUGACACCCCACCUCCUCUCACACUGCUGGGACCCUAGAAGGAAGCCAAGGGCAGCGCCUCAGAGGUUCGACCACGUUCUGUGACUCCAAGGGGCUCACACGCAAGACUAGAGCAGCUGUCCAGCAAAAGAUACAACCAUGUCAGAGCAACAGGGUGUUGUGACUAUGGAAGAGAGAGACCUGGGGAUCCUUGAAGAGACUCGUGUGCUGACCCUGGGGCAGUGUAAUCCCAUGAAGCAUAUGAUGGUGUCUAAAUGAGAGUGAACUCUACUGAGACAGUGUGACUUUGCAGGAAAGGUUGGGAUACGAGCAGCUUCCAGGACUUACGGGCGGACCCCAGAUGACAGCCACCCAAACUCAGGCCCUCAGUUGAACUCUGCCAACAACCUGAGUGAGCCUGGAAGUGGUUUCUUCCCCAUCCAAGCAGCCAGCACCUAGACUGCAGCCUGGUAAGACCCUGAGCGCAGGGUCCUCGGUUACCAUUUCUACAUGAGACAUGCCUGGCCUCCUGAACCACAGCAACUGUAAUGAUAAAUGGCUAACACUAUUAUGAGUUUUGCUCAUCGACUCCAGCUAGGAUCUGUGAAGAUGGUGCAGGUGUGGAGAGAUGUUUCCCUGACCUCGGUGUGUGUCUGCUAGAGAGAGAUCGGAUUCCCCAUCUUCGGAGAUCCCUCCAUCUGAGUGACUGUGUGAUUUCCAGAACUUGUUAGCAAAAUGGUUCUUCCUCAUCCUUCCCCCACACUUAGUCAUUAAAACUUCUGGAAACUUAACAGGAUUUGGUUCUUGCUUCAGGGGGAAAAAGAAUAAGCAGUCAUUACCUAGGUUGGUAUGAGGGUACUGUGGAAGAGAUCGAGGGGUCAAAGAGAAUGAAUAUUUCUCUGAUACAAGCAGUGAGCAACAGGGUCACUGAACUAAGACAUGCGUAACAAUAGCCUUAUAUAAUUCUUAUUAUGUCAAACACUCUGAACCAAAAUCCUUCCCUAACAACUAAACCAAGGUAUUAGACAUCAUCUACAGCCACAGAGCUCUAAGGGUGGUUUGGGGAAGAAACUGUAAUUUGAGGAAAAGCAGGUGAAAUGUCUUAAUUCUUCCUUCAUUUUAAGGAUAUUCAUUGCAUAUUGACACAGCCUUGACAUUUGUCAAGAUGCAGUGGAGAAAUUAAAGACAGGAAAUGACAAAGCGAGCACUUGAAAAUUUUAAUCCAAGGAACAGUUGGAGAACCACAGAAAAUUUCCCUCAAACAAUUCUUGUCUUGUAUCCAAGAUUUGCAAGAUUUUUCCAAUUUAUGUGGACACAAACCUGGGCCAUAUGUUUGGAGAUGAAGUGUCCAAUUCAUUCGGUUUUAUACCAGGGAGGAUA